rnacentral:pre_miRNA from 1 species
AGUGGAAUUGCUGGGUCAUAUGGUACCGCUAUGUUUAACUUUCUGAGGAACUGCCAAACUGUUUUCCAAAGUGAGUACACCAUUUUAAAUUUUCCCCAGUAAU